ensembl:piRNA 21ur-46 ncRNA
UGUUUAGAAACCAGUAAUAGA